rnacentral:rRNA from 2 species
AAAUCAGGUAGGGCUACMCGCUGGAA